UGCUAUCCCCUCCCCGGUGAGGAGUCACGCGGCACGUUAAACUUAAAGGAUUGGGGGGGGCCCCCGCAGAGGCGAGAGAACUGUGUGUUUUAUUGGGUGGUCGGGGAGAGAUCCUUACCCUGGGCUGGAAGGCCUUCGACGAGACACAGGAGUCGUUUCCUUUUCUUCGGAAGAAUUUUGGUCCCGCAUGGUUGUCCUCAGCUCCUCCGGGAAGGUGUCGACAAAGGUCCUAAAGCGAGCGCAUCUCUACGGCGGGUUACCAUGCGGGUUACCGCGGGGACCCCGGGCGCCACGCCGCCCGCAAGCCGCGAGAAUGUUGAGAAUGACGUCAAAUCAGCACGCCCUUUACGUCGGGGGCCCACACACGUGUUACAUUGGGGGCACAGAAAGCUGGAUGCCGGGCGACGGUGUCGAAUCCUCAAAUCCCCUCCCCAGUUCGGACUGGAGUCUGCAACCCGACUCCACGAAGCUGGAUUCGCUAGUAAUCGCGCAUCAGCCAUGGCGCGGUGAAUACGUCCCGGGCGUGUACACACCGCCCGUCAAGCCAUGAAAGCCGGGGGCGCCUGAAGUCCGUAGCCGGAAGGCGCGGCCUAGGGCGAUACCGGUGAUGGGGCUAAGUCGUAACAAGGUAACCUA
rnacentral:rRNA from 1 species